rnacentral:tRNA from 1 species
GGAGAGGUGCCAGAGUGGUUGAAUGGGGCGGUCUCGAAAACCGUUGUACCGCAAGGUACCCCGGGUUCGAAUCCCGGCCUCUCCGCCA